rnacentral:rRNA from 1 species
GACGAACGCUGGCGGCGUGCUUAACACAUGCAAGUCGAACGAAGAGCGAUGGAGGCUUGCUUCUUUCCAUCUUAGUGGCGAACGGGUGAGUCACGCGUAAUCAACCUGCCCUUCAGAGGGGGACCACAGUUGGACACGACUUCUUAUCCCGCAUACUAUCCAAUCUCGUCAUCGGGUCUGGAUGAAAGGUGUCCUCUAUUUAUAUGCUAUCAUUGACGGCGGAGUUUGCGUCUGAUUAGGUAGUUGGUUGGGUAACGGCCCACCAAGGCGAUGAUUAGGAGCCGGUCUGAGAGGAGGAACGGCCAAAUUGGGACUGAGACACGGCCCAGAACCCUACGGGAGGGAGCAGGGGGGAAACUUCCGCAAUGGACGAAAGUCUGACGGAGCAACGCCGGGGGAGGGAUGAAGGGCCUCGGGUUGGAAAGCUCUGGUAAUCGGGAAGAAUGGUACUUGUGCGAAUAGAGGGAGGAUUUGACGGUACCGGAACAGAAAGCCACGGCUAACUACGUG